rnacentral:rRNA from 1 species
GUCCAUGCUGUAAACGAUGGAUGCUAGGUGUUCGGGGAGUUGACCCCCCGAGUGCCGAAGUCAACACAUUAAGCAUCCCGCCUGGGAAGUACGGUCGCAAGACUAAAACUCAAAGGAAUUGACGGGGGCCCGCACAAGCGGUGGAGCAUGUGGUUCAAUUCGACGCAACGCGAAGAACCUUACCUAGGCUUGACAUGUCCGGAACCCUCUUGAAAGAGAGGGGUGCCCGCAAGGGAGCCGGAACACAGGUGCUGCAUGGCUGUCGU